GCCGGUUUUAGCUUUAAAAAAAAAAAUUUCUUCACUCUCAUUUACUUCAAAUUUACAAUUCCUUUCAUUCAACUAAAAUAAUCAACUACAUUCCCAUCUUCUCCUUGUGUACUAGUUCAUUUUCAUUCUCAUUUAAGGUCAUAGCACUGGUAUGUACAUGAGUUGAUACAGGCGUAUCUCCAUAUUACGCCUAACGAACACCGCAUUUGCGCAGCCAGGAUCACAUUACCAUCCGACAUCUACGUUAUUGGCUGAGCGCAUCCGAUCGGUGCUCAUACAGUGCAAUGACACGAUUCAAGGGGCCGCUACAUCACCAGUUGAUGUGGGGUAUCGGCUAUGUUCUCAGACCCUAGGAUCCAUCAACGCGUCAUUGACCGAUGCAUUGAGUCAGGCGGGGUAUGAGUACCUCAUACCGACUCCACCCGUCAUUGGCGAGGUAGAUGACGCAUUCCACACUCCUUCUCCAAGGAGUUCAGCCCAUAGAGGUAGCUCUUCCGGAGGAUCCAGUUCUCGGUCCACACGAGGUCGCCAGCGUUCAUCUACUCGAGGUCGGUCUUCCAGAUCGCCAUCGUCAUUCGGUACUAUGUCGCCAUUCGUUCCUCCAACUUCCAUCACCACUCCUCCUCUACAUCCAUCGCCUCCGCAAAGGAUCAUCACAUAUCAACGUGCUAGUCAACGACGAGCUCCUGCUCUUAAUGUCAUUGCGGAGAUUGACGAGUUCACACCAUCAUCAUCAACCGGUGCGCAAAUGAAGAGGGGCUGGGGAUUGUAGUUUAACAUACUUUGUAUAUUCUUAUAUGAU